GAUGAACGCUGGCGGCGUGCCUAAUACAUGCAAGUCGAGCGAACAGAUGAGGAGCUUGCUCCUCUGACGUUAGCGGCGGACGGGUGAGUAACACGUGGAUAACCUACCUAUAAGACUGGGAUAACUUCGGGAAACCGGAGCUAAUACCGGAUAAUAUAUUGAACCGCAUGGUUCAAUAGUGAAAGACGGUUUUGCUGUCACUUAUAGAUGGAUCCGCGCCGCAUUAGCUAGUUGGUAAGGUAACGGCUUACCAAGGCAACGAUGCGUAGCCGACCUGAGAGGGUGAUCGGCCACACUGGAACUAAGACACGGUCCAGACUCCUACGGGAGGCAGCAGUAGGGAAUCUUCCGCAAUGGGCGAAAGCUUGACGGAGCAACGCCGCGUGAGUGAUGAAGGUCUUCGGAUCGUAAAACUCUGUUAUUAGGGAAGAACAAAUGUGUAAGUAACUAUGCACGUCUUGACGGUACCUAAUCAGAAAGCCACGGCUAACUACGUG
rnacentral:rRNA from 1 species